rnacentral:rRNA from 1 species
GCUAGCGGCAGCCUAACACAUGCAAGUCGAACGGUAACUUUUGGUGCUUGCACCGAAAGACGAGUGGCGAACGGGUGCGUAACGUGUAUGCAAUCUGCCUUUUACUAGGGUAUAGCCCAGAGAAAUUUGGAUUAAUCCCCUAUAAUAUCAUUUUUCCGCAUGUUUAAAUGAUUAAAGCUUCGGCGGUAAAAGAUGAGCAUGCAUCCUAUUAGUUUGUAGGUGAGGUAACGGCUCACCUAGACUACGAUAGGUAGGGGCCCUGAGAGGGGGACCCCCCACACUGGUACUGAGACACGGACCAGACUCCUACGGGAGGCAGCAGUGAGGAAUAUUGGACAAUGGACGAAAGUCUGAUCCAGCUAUGCCGCGUGCAGGAUGACGGCCCUACGGGUUGUAAACUGCUUUUAUACAGGAAGAAACACCCCGACGUGUCGGGGCUUGACGGUACUGUAAGAAUAAGGAUCGGCUAACUCCGUGCCAGCAGCCGCGGUAAUACGGAGGAUUCGAGCGUUAUCCGGAAUCAUUGGGUUUAAAGGGUCCGCAGGCGGUUUUUUAAGUCAGAGGUGAAAUCCUGCAGCUCAACUGUAGAAUUGCCUUUGAUACUGAAAGACUUGAGUUAUUGUGAAGUGGUUAGAAUGUGUGGUGUAGCGGUGAAAUGCAUAGAUAUCACACAGAAUACCGAUUGCGAAGGCAGAUCACUAACAAUAUACUGACGCUCAGGGACGAAAGCGUGGGUAGCGAACAGGAUUAGAUACCCUGGUAGUCCACGCCGUAAACGAUGGAUACUAGCUGUAUGUCUACUUCAGGUAGAUGUGUGGCCAAGCGAAAGUGAUAAGUAUCCCACCUGGGGAGUACGAUC